rnacentral:rRNA from 8 species
GUCGUAACAAGGUUUCCGUAGGUGAACCUGCGGAAGGAUCAUUAAUG